GUAAACACAGAUAUUGUUACAUGUUUAUGAAACAAGCACAUGUUUCUGUUAUAAGAUAUAAUAAGCAUUAUUUAUAAUUUUACUGAAGUUAUACGUUAUAUUACAAAAUCAGUUUAAAAUCCAGCACUAGCCAUGUGGUGCACGUGAUUUUAAUCCCAUUUUUAAAAUUUGAUUAUACAUUCGUAUACAUUUGAUGUAGAAAGUAUACCAAAUAAUUAAAAUUAUAUUUUGUUUAUAUAUGAUCAGUCCGACGUGUACGUCUUACUUCCCGGCUUGUUUAACGCGUUUGUAUUUUAAUUUCAUAAGUAUUCUUAACGUAUUGCUCAUCGCAUGACCAAUCAGUGCACAUGUGUAACUGUAAAAUAAUUGCCAUCAAUUCAUCGUAGUUGUAAAUUCACCAUACGGGUGAACGCUGUUAACCGGACCCCGUUAAUUGAUCGGCAUCUAAUUAUAUUUGUGAUUUCUGUGUGUUCAUGCAGAACCUGCUCUGUGAUGAACAUAAUAUUUUCACACCUCUAUAUUUUGAAUAAGAAUAUGACCGUGCUUAGAAUCGCGGUGAAAAUUGGACAAGUCAAGACUAACUUGUCAGUAAACUAUAUAUGGCUCUAUCAUAUUUAGUUUGGCAAAAUCAUCAGUACAUGUAAAUGUAAUAUAGUUAAAGACAAAAUCUGAUACAUAUGUCUCAUUAAAACUUGUUUAAUUUCAUUAGACAUUUGUAAACAAACGGUCGGCCAUUUUUUUUGGUUAAUCACGUGUUACAAAUACAAUUGCAACAAACACACGCCAAUACUUUGUCGUAUUUAACCAGGAAAUACUGACUCCGACAGUUCUUAUUUAAAAUAAAUAUACAUGCAAAAAGUAUACUAUUCGGUAAAAAAUGAUAAUUUUGAUUAAACAUUAUUCAUUUUAAACUAUCCCAAGAUGCACUUUUCCAAGAUUUAGCGGGUUCUGAUUGGUCAGUAUUGGCGCACUUUAUGAUUCCGAGCGAAGGUUAAAAUGGACAAGAAGGUGCUGAUGUAAAAUGGAGAAUUGGGAAGCAUUAAUAGCCUCUACAACAAGGAGAUAAUGCAGAAAGGAAGAACUCAUGUCAAGCAUUGACAGCAUACAAAGUCAAUGUUUCCGGUGAUUAGUUGCAUCCUCUGUUCGGUGAUUCGGGUGAAUUUUUUGACCAGCUGGACGAUGUGAACGCAAGAUAAAUAGAACAGACAUAAAGUACAGCCCAGUGAAAGGAACAAGUUCAUCGCAAGAAGAAGAAUUUUAAUGCUACCACUGUCCAGAACUACUAAGUCUGCUGUAGCCAUGAUGUGAUCAUAUGAGUGCUUCACCGGUCUGGACAAUGCUCGAAAGUCCCCCAAAAAGGCCUAUUUCCAUAAACUACGACUCGGGUUACAUCAACAACAGCCAAGGACACUCCUUAUUGAUUCGAAUGGACACAUCUCUACGACCCGACUAAACCUCUGCAGAACAAGACUUUUUAACUGUAAAGUAUUCUCAUUUCAAAAAACCUAUAAACUAUAAAAGUACCUUUUUUAUAUGAUCAAAUACCAGUAUAUGACAAUGUCUGUCUGUAAGCUAGAAUCUUAGAAAAUCGCAUGGUUUUGACUUAUUAAAUGAUUGAUUAGACCUUGCAGAUAUUAACUUUCAUUUUCUUAAAUAAUUUGUUAUAUUUGCAAAUAUUGCAUAAAAUAUUAGACUCCAUGUAACAUAUAUCCUCACACCUCCAAGUUGAUAAGUGUUAACUACUUUUUUUCCAUUUUCUGUGUUUAAAAAUUUAUUGAUAACUUAGUUUUUAUUUGCAGCAAUAUAUGAAAAAUUAAGAAACCAAUCUUAAAUGUAAAAACACUGCAUUAGGAGAUGAAUGCAUGGGUCAUAGAAAUGAUAAAAUACACCAAACAAUAUUCAAUUAUGUCGUAUAUGAAAAUAUAUAAAGACAACAUAUACCCCAUGUAUUACAAUUUUUAUAUAACAAAAUUACUUGAAUGGAAAGUUGUUUCCAUGUGGGUUUUAUUUCAAUCUGUGUUAUGUAACUAAUAUAUAAUUGGAAUUAGCUUUUAUAUCAUAAGUAAAAUGCUGGUAUUGAUGAGAAUUGUAAGGUGAAUGAUCUUUGUGAUACUUCGUAUGUUAUACAUUCAUGUUACAAAAAGCAAGUACAUGUACAUGUAGACUAGUAAUACUUGUCAUAUAUAAACAAUGUAUAUUUUACUUCAUGUCUUGGAUUUAAAAAUAUUAAUGUAGGUAAAGUAGUGAAAUGUAGGAAGGUAAACCGUGUGUAAAGAAGAAUAUUCAUCAGGAAUGAAGUGUGUUGCAAUCAGCAUAAUUAAUUAAAUGUGUACAUCAUAUUUUUGCACAUGAUUUGACAGACUGCUCCAUUGUUAGCUUUUUAUUGGCCAACAAGCUUUUCAUAUCUCUCUCUGGGUCAUCUAUUAAAUACUGACAGGCUUAUGAUAUUAAAAUCUGAUCAGUUGGUACAUCAUGGGUGGAAAUGAAAAGUUCACUUUGGACUUAAUGGAUCAUCAAAAAAAUGAUAUCAAAUCCUGCUCUAUUGUAAAACAUUAGAUUAUAUUACUAACAAAGAAAAGGUUUAUCCCAACUUGUAAGUGGGUCACUUUGACCUCAUUUUGGAAUUUAUUGGCAUAUUCAAAUCAAAUCUGGGUCAUACCUCUAUAGUCAACUACUAUCUUGUAGUGUAUUUUUUUUUUUAAAGAUGGAUACUUUAGACUUUUCAAAACUAUUUUAUGGUGUACAUAUUCAUUGUAGUUCAAAACAAAUUGAGACAAGUGUAUCAUAUUCAUGUAACAGUGAAGUUUUCUUUGUUUAUUCAUGUAUGUGCAGUUAUUUUGUAAAUUGCAUUCAUAUUUUAAAAAAAGUAAGAUCUUUGUUGCAUUUUUAAAGGGAGAUUUUAUAGGCAUUUAAUCGAGAUGAAAAAAAAUACAAAUGUAAAGAUUUCUAUGGGAGUUUUUUUUUCUUGUGCAAUUUUAUCAUUUUUAAAUAAAAGUCCCUAAUAAGGGAAUUGCCAUAUGGAUGUUUCUCCAUUAUUGUAUCUUGGCUGUAUUUUAUUUAUUAUUGGAAACAAUUUCAGAUUUUUGAACAAAAUAAAUUUGGAACUGUUCGAAAUUGUUUUGUUUUUACAUAAAGUAGAAACCUUGCUCAGCUUUUGUGAAAGCAAAAAUAUAAAAAGUUUCAGUAAGUUUCAGUUGCGGAAACCCUUUGUAAACAAUAUGUUUCCCAAUUGUAUAUGGAGGUUGAAACUAUGCAGAAACUUCAAGUUUCAGUAAGUUUCCGUCGCGGAAACCAUUUGUAAACAAUAUGUAUCCCAAACGUAUAUGGAGAUUGAAACUAUGCAGAAACUUCAAGUUUCAGUAAGUUUCCGUUGCGGAAACCAUUUGGAUUCAUGGACAGCCUAAGUUUCAGCACUGCGGAAACUUAAUGAAACUUGAAGUUUCCGUGCUGAAACCUGUCGGAAACUUAAAGUAACCUUAAGUUUCCGCAGAGUCUCCAAAGG